UACGUAGGGGGCAAGCGUUGUCCGGAUUUAUUGGGCGUAAAGAGCGUGUAGGCGGCCCGACAGGUCCGUUGUGAAAACUCGAGGCUCAACCUCGAGACGUCGAUGGAAACCGUCGGGCUAGAGUCCGGAAGAGGAGAGUGGAAUUCCUGGUGUAGCGGUGAAAUGCGCAGAUAUCAGGAAGAACACCUAUGGCGAAGGCAGCACUCUGGGACGGUACUGACGCUGAGACGCGAAAGCGUGGGGAGCGAACAGG
rnacentral:rRNA from 1 species